UUCGCAAUGCCCGAAAGGGUGACGAAGCGACGCCGCGUGUGGGAAGAAGGCCUUCGGGUUGUAAACCACUGUCGGGAGUUAAGAAAUGUAAGGAUAUGAAUAGUAUCCUUACUUGACUAAGGCUCCGGAGGAAGCCACGGCUAACUCUGUGCCAGCAGCCGCGGUAAUACAGAGGCGGCAAGCGUUGUUCGGAAUUAUUGGGCGUAAAGAGCACGUAGGCGGCUCUGCAAGUCAGUUGUGAAAGCCUUCCGCUCAAAGGAAGAACGGCAUCUGAUACUACAGGGCUUGAGUGCGGGAGGGGAGAGUGGAACUUCUGGUGGAGCGGUGAAAUGCGUAGAUAUCGGAAGGAACGCCGGUGGCGAAAGCGGUCCGCUGGAUCUCUUCUGACGCUGAGGCGCGAAAGCCAGGGGAGCAAACGGGAUUAGAUACCCCGGUAGUCCUGGCCCUAAACGAUGGGCACUAAGUAGAGGGGUUUU
rnacentral:rRNA from 1 species